UCCCCUUCUUCCAUUUCAAUUCAAAGAGAUUAUCUAUUCCUUAACAACAAACACAAGGAGGAUUAUCUCCAUUAGUUUAUAUUCAUGAUGUAAAUGCAUCAUAUGUAUCAAUAAAUGACAUUGAGCAGUUGUACUAAUCAAGUAAAUAAUUCAAAUACAUAGUUCAAAACUCAUUCAGAACAUAGCUCUGAUACUACUAAAACAUGUCACACCUUACCCUUCCGUAAGGCAUAA
rnacentral:misc_RNA from 1 species